rnacentral:rRNA from 1 species
UACGUAGGUGGCAAGCGUUGUCCGGAUUUAUUGGGUUUAAAGGGUGCGUAGGUGGCCUGUUAAGUCAGGGGUGAAAGACGGUAGCUCAACUAUCGCAGUGCCUUUGAUACUGAUGGGCUUGAAUACACUUGAGGUAGGCGGAAUGUGACAAGUAGCGGUGAAAUGCAUAGAUAUGUCACAGAACACCAAUUGCGAAGGCAGCUUACUAAAGUGUGAUUGACACUGAGGCACGAAAGCGUGGGGAUCAAACAGG